rnacentral:rRNA from 1 species
GACGUAGGGCGCGAGCGUUGUCCGGAUUUAUUGGGCGUAAAGAGCUCGUAGGCGGCUUGUCGCGUCGACUGUGAAAACUCGGGGCUCAACUCCGAGCUUGCAGUCGAUACGGGCAGGCUAGAGUUCGGUAGGGGAGACUGGAAUUCCUGGUGUAGCGGUGAAAUGCGCAGAUAUCAGGAGGAACACCGGUGGCGAAGGCGGGUCUCUGGGCCGAUACUGACGCUGAGGAGCGAAAGCAUGGGUAGCGAACAGG